rfam:Streptomyces albus strain DSM 41398, complete genome.
CUUGAUGGAUCCCAGCCAGAGCGGCCGGUCCUCGGGGCGGUCCUGCCCGUAGGUGGCGAGCAGCGCCUGCGCCUC